CUUAACCAAUAUUACAAAAUGGGAUCGAGGGGAAGCAAACUUGUUAAUACAACCAUUUUUACAGAGGGGGAUAUAGUUUUCUUUCAAAGACCAGGUUAUAAAUGUUAUGGUAUCUAUGUAGGUAAUGAUGAAAUAGUCUAUUUAGCUGGGGAUGAUAACUCGGAUACUAUGGUUAAAAGGGAAAACAUGUGGAAGGAAGCCAAGGGCUCUAAAAUCACCACAGUAAAUACAGAUAUUAAAAGACGUCCGUUACCAAUAGAAGAAGUAGUAGAGAGGGCUCUAUCCAAGCUGGGUGAAGGUGAUUAUGAUCUGUUCGAGAAUAGUUGUGAACAUUUUGCUAUUUGGUGUCGAUAUGGAGAUAAGGAAAGUGAUCAGCUCAAUAAGACCAAAACCGACAAGGGUAACUUGGGAAGAAAUAUGGAACGCUUCGUUAACGGAGCUCAAUUUAUAGCAUCCAUAGUAACCGCAGUAAUCUAACCCAAGGAUAUUUUUUAAGUAAAAUGAUAUACAUAUAAUGCAGUAAUCAAAAGACCUACGUAGUCCUCAUAAUAAUAAGUGAAAUGGAAAAAUAUGUUAAA